rnacentral:rRNA from 1 species
AGAGUUUGAUCAUGGCUCAGAUUGAACGCUGGCGGCAGGCUUAACACAUGCAAGUCGAGCGGGGGAAGGUAGCUUGCUACUGGACCUAGCGGCGGACGGGUGAGUAAUGCUUAGGAAUCUGCCUAUUAGUGGGGGACAACAUCUCGAAAGGGAUGCUAAUACCGCAUACGUCCUACGGGAGAAAGCAGGGGAUCUUCGGACCUUGCGCUAAUAGAUGAGCCUAAGUCGGAUUAGCUAGUUGGUGGGGUAAAGGCCUACCAAGGCGACGAUCUGUAGCGGGUCUGAGAGGAUGAUCCGCCACACUGGGACUGAGACACGGCCCAGACUCCUACGGGAGGCAGCAGUGGGGAAUAUUGGACAAUGGGCGCAAGCCUGAUCCAGCCAUGCCGCGUGUGUGAAGAAGGCCUUAUGGUUGUAAAGCACUUUAAGCGAGGAGGAGGCUACUUUAGAUAAUACCUAGAGAUAGUGGACGUUACUCGCAGAAUAAGCACCGGCUAACUCUGUGCCAGCAGCCGCGGUAAUACAGAGGGUGCAAGCGUUAAUCGGAUUUACUGGGCGUAAAGCGCGCGUAGGCGGCUAAUUAAGUCAAAUGUGAAAUCCCCGAGCUUAACUUGGGAAUUGCAUUCGAUACUGGUUAGCUAGAGUGUGGGAGAGGAUGGUAGAAUUCCAGGUGUAGCGGUGAAAUGCGUAGAGAUCUGGAGGAAUACCGAUGGCGAAGGCAGCCAUCUGGCCUAACACUGACGCUGAGGUGCGAAAGCAUGGGGAGCAAACAGGAUUAGAUACCCUGGUAGUCCAUGCCGUAAACGAUGUCUACUAGCCGUUGGGGCCUUUGAGGCUUUAGUGGCGCAGCUAACGCGAUAAGUAGACCGCCU